CUGUUCUGUUCAGAAUUCUGCCCCAAGAUGAAAUCCACAAACCCUGGCAUCUCUAUUGGAGACAUGGCAAAAAUGCUGGGUGAGAUGUGGAAUAACAAGUGACAGUGAAGACCAACCUUACAUCUCUAAGGUGGAAAAGCUGAAGGAGAAGUGGGAGAACGAUGUUUCUGACUGCAGGUCUAAAGGAAAGUUUGAUGGUGCAGAGGGUCCUGCUAAAGUUGCCCAGAAAGAGGUGGAAGAGGAAGGCAAAGACAAUGAGGAGGAAGAAGAGAAGGAAGCUGAAUAAA
rnacentral:lncRNA from 1 species